rnacentral:lncRNA from 1 species
CUCGGCAAAUCCGCUCUCGCACGGAUGCUGGUAUGCUUAUUCGUGACUAGCGAAGAAAGCUUUGUUUACGUUAUUUUAAUCAGCCAGUAGCGCAAUCAUCAAGCUGAGCUAGAUCUAAGAAUGUAAGGAGACGAGAAAAAGGGCUGAAAAGCACGCUUCUUCGCCUGCCGUAGCUUCAUUGGGAAGGGAAGGCUAUGAGUUAAGCUAACGCCCUUUGUUUAAAAGUGGGCAAACCAUGCUGGAAAUCGAGAGCUGGGAUGGCUGUGACAGCCUUCUGUAUGGAAGGAAGCGAAGGUCUCACUCCAAUGAAACAUGAAGACAUCGCUUCUUUCUGUUAGGCGUAUACCGUGGUCUUGAGAGGGGUCUUUUUACGGGCUUAGCAAAGCUUAGGGCCUUAUUAGAUCUAGGCCAUUCUUUGAGG